rnacentral:rRNA from 1 species
UUUUAUUUGAUGCUUGCAUCUUUUAAAAAGUUGAGUGGCUAACGGGUGAGUAACACGUGGGUAACCUGCCUUAAAGUGGGGGAUAACACUUGGAAACAGGUGCUAAUACCGCAUAGCCAUCAAAACCGCCUGGUUUUGAUGUUAAAGAUGGUUCUGCUAUCGCUUUAAGAUGGACCCGCGGCGUAUUAGCUAGUUGGUGAGGUAAUGGCUUACCAAGGCAAUGAUACGUAGCCGAACUGAGAGGUUGAUCGGCCACAUUGGGACUGAGACACGGCCCAAACUCCUACGGGAGGCAGCAGUAGGGAAUCUUCCACAAUGGACGAAAGUCUGAUGGAGCAACGCCGCGUGAGUGAAGAAGGUUUUCGGAUCGUAAAACUCUGUUGUCAGAGAAGAACGUGUGUGAGAGUAACUGUUCACGCAGUGACGGUAUCUGACCAGAAAGUCACGGCUAACUACGUGCCAGCAGCCGCGGUAAUACGUAGGUGGCAAGCGUUGUCCGGAUUUAUUGGGCGUAAAGGGAACGCAGGCGGUCUUUUAAGUCUGAUGUGAAAGCCUUCGGCUUAACCGAAGUCGGGCAUUGGAAACUGGGAGACUUGAGUGCAGAAGAGGAGAGUGGAACUCCAUGUGUAGCGGUGAAAUGCGUAGAUAUAUGGAAGAACACCAGUGGCGAAAGCGGCUCUCUGGUCUGUAACUGACGCUGAGGUUCGAAAGCGUGGGUAGCAAAACAGGAUUAGAUACCCUGGUAGUCCACGCCGUAAACGAUGAAUGCUAAGUGUUGGAGGGU